AUUGAACGCUGGCGGCAGGCCUAACACAUGCAAGUCGAGCGAGCGGCGGACGGGUGAGUAAUGUCUGGGAAACUGCCUGAUGGAGGGGGAUAACUACUGGAAACGGUAGCUAAUCACGCAUACCAUCAGAUGUGCCCAGAGGGGAGUAGAUCGUAGGUGGGGUAACGGCUCACCUCGUCGACUAUCCCUAGCUGGUCUGAGAGGAUGACCAGCCACACGGGAACUGAGACACGGUCCAGAAUCCUACGGGAGGCAGCAGUGGGGAAUAUUGCACAAUGGGCGCAAGCCUGAUGCAGCCAUGCCGCGUGUGGGAAGAAGGCCUUCGGGUUGUAAAGCACUUUCAGCGGGGAGGCGUUACCCGCAGAAGAAGCACCGGCUAACUCCGUGCCAGCAGCCGCGGUAAUAC
rnacentral:rRNA from 1 species